rnacentral:rRNA from 1 species
UACGGGGGGGGGCAAGCGUUGUUCGGAAUUACUGGGCGUAAAGCGCGUGUAGGCGGCUCUUCAAGUCGAGUGUGAAAGCCCCGGGCUUAACUUGGGAAUUGCGCUCGAAACUACUUGGCUGGAGUGUGGCAGAGGAAGGUGGAAUUCCAGGUGUAGCGGUGAAAUGCGUAGAGAUCUGGAGGAACACCGAUGGCGAAGGCAGCCUUCUGGGCCAACACUGACGCUCAUGCACGAAAGCGUGGGGAGCAAACAGG